rnacentral:rRNA from 1 species
GACGAACGCUGGCGGCGUGCUUAACACAUGCAAGUCGAACGGAAAGGCCUCUUUCGGGGGGUACUCGAGUGGCGAACGGGUGAGUAACACGUGAGUAACCUGCCCUUGACUUUGGGAUAACUUCAGGAAACUGGGGCUAAUACCGGAUAGGAGCUCCUGCUGCAUGGUGGGGGUUGGAAAGUUUCGGCGGUUGGGGAUGGACUCGCGGCUUAUCAGCUUGUUGGUGGGGUAGUGGCUUACCAAGGCUUUGACGGGUAGCCGGCCUGAGAGGGUGACCGGCCACAUUGGGACUGAGAUACGGCCCAGACUCCUACGGGAGGCAGCAGUGGGGAAUAUUGCCCAAUGGGUGGAAGCCUGAUGCAGCAACGCCGUGUGCGGGAUGACGGACUUCGGGUUGUAAACCGCUUUCGCUCAUGACGAAGCUUUGUGUGACGGUAGUGGGUAAAGAAGCACCGGCUAACUACGUG